ACACCUCAACUCUCAUGGUUUCCCCCAUGAUGAGCUUGGACUGUGGAGGUUUUGUUGGCCCGUGUGGUCGGCUCCUCUCAAAUGGAUCAGCUUACCGGUGUUUGGUGGCGUUGCGGGUGUGAUAACUAUCUGCGCUCGUAGUCGUCUCCAAGUAACCUCCAGUGAUGGGGGUUCGCUGGAGCUUACAGACGUCUCUCCCCAGUGAAGACAGCAUUCAAAC
rnacentral:misc_RNA from 1 species